GUAGAAGACAGAGAGAGAGAUGGGAAGAGGUAGAGGACAGAGAGAGAGAGAUGGGAAGAGGUAGAAGACAGAGAGAGAUGGGAAGAGGUAGAGGACAGAGAGAGAGAUGGGAAGAGGUAGAGGACAGAGAGAGAGAGAUGGGAAGAGGUAGAGGACAGAGAGAGAGAUGGGAAGAGGUAGAGGACAGAGAGAGAGAUGGGAAGAGGUAGAGGACAGAGAGAGAGAUGGGAAGAGGUAGAGGACAGAGAGAGAGAUGGGAAGAGGUAGAGGACAGAGAGAGAGAUGGGAAGAGGUAGAGGACAGAGAAAGAGAGAGAGAGAGAUGGUAAGAGGUAGAGGACAGAGAAAGAGAGAGAGAGAGAUGGGAAGAGGUAGAGGACAGAGAAAGAGAGAGAGAGAUGGUAAGAGGUAGAGGACAGAGAAAGAGAGAGAGAGAGAGAGAUGGUAAGAGGUAAAGGACAGAGAAAGAGAAAAAGAGAGAGAGAUGGUAGAGGACAGAGAGAAAGAGAGAGAUGGUAAGAGGUAGAGGACAGAGAGAAAGAGAGAGAGGGAUGGGAAGAGGUAGAGGACAGAGAGAGAGAUGGGAAGAGGUAGAGGACAGAGAGAGAGAUGGGAAGAGGUAGAGGACAGAGAGAGAGAUGGGAAGAGGUAGAGGACAGAGAGAGAGAUGGGAAGAGGUAGAGGACAGAGAGAGAGAGAGAGAGAUGGGAAGAGGUAGAGGACAUACAGAGCCUUCAGAAUGUAUUCAUACUCUCCCCACGUCUUGUUGUGUUACAGCCUGAAUUAAGAAUGUAUUAAAUUGAUUAUUUUCUUUCCCCCAUGUCGAUACAAUACCCCAUAAAGACAAAGUGAAAACAUGUUCUUCGACACAUUUAUUGAAGGUGAAAUAUAGAAAUAUUUCCUUUACUUAAGUAUUCACGCCACUGAGUCAAUACUUUGUAGAAACACCUUUGCCAGAGAUUACAGCUGUGAGUCUUUCAGGGUAAGUCUCGAAGAGCGUUCCACACCUGGAUUGCUCAACAUUUGCACACUAUUCUUUUCAAAAUUCUUCAAGGUCUGUCAAAUUGGUUGUUGAUCAUUGCUAGACAACCAUUUUCAGGUCUUGCCAUACAUUUCCAAGUAGAUUUAAGUCAAAACUAUAACUCUGCCACUCAGGAACAUUCAUUGAUUUCUUGGUAAGCAACUUCAGUAUAGAUUUGGCCUUGUGUUUUAGGUUAUUGUCUAACUGAAAGGUGAAAGCAGACUGAACCAGGUUUUCCUCGAGGGUUUUUGCCUGUGCUUAGCUCCAUUCAGUUGAUGUUUUAUUGUGAAAAACUCCUCAGUCCUUAACUUCUUUGGGAUAGGGGUAUUUUGACGUCUGAAUGAAAAGCGUGCCCAAAGUAAACUGCCUACUACUCAGGCCCAUAAGCUAGGAUAUGCAUAUAAUUGGUAGAUGUGGAUAGAAAACACUAACGUUUCUAAAACUGUUAAAAUAAUGACUGUGAGUAUAACAUAACUGAAAUGGCAGGUGAAACCCAGAGGACAAACCAUCCCAAAAACUGGUUUAUGGGAAAUUGUAGUUUUUCUAGGUGGCUCCCAUUUUGUCUGUAGUGUUUCCAAGCGCGUGAAUGCGAGCGCGUUCUUUGGUAUUUUUCUCUGGUAAGGACAAUAACAUCUUAAAUUUGAUCAUUUAUUUGGGUCUGAUUCUAAACGUUAAUUGACUUGUUUGGAAAAGUUUAUUGGUAACGCUCAAGGUUAUAAACGUCAUCAUAACUGCCAUCGAUAAGAGACAUUACUGUGCAGCCGUAUUCAUCGACCUGGCCAAGGCUUUCGACUCUGUCUAUCACAACGUUCUUAUUGGCAGACUCGACAGCCUUCGUUUCUCAAAUGAUUGCCUCGCCUGGUUUACCAACUACUUCUCUGAAAGAGUUCAGUGUGUCAAAUCGGAGGGCCUGUUGUCCGGACCUCUGACAGUCUCUAUGGGUGUGCCACAGGGUUCAAUUCUCGGGCCGACUCACUUUUCUGUAUACAUCAAUGAUGUUGCUCUUGCUGCUGGUGAUUCUCUGAUCCACCUCUACGCAGACGACACCAUUCUGUAUACUUCUGGCCCCUCCUUGGACACUGUGUUAACUAACCUCCAGACGAGCUUCAAUGCCAUGCAACUCUCCUUCCGUGGCCUCCAACUGCUCUUAAACGCAAGUAAAACUAAAUGCAUGCUAUUCAAUCAAUCACUGCCCACACCUGCUCGCCCGUGCAGCAUCUCUACUCUGGACGGCUCUGACUUAGAAUACGUGGACAACUACAAAUACCUGGGUGUCUGGUUAGACUGUAAACUCUCCUUCCAGACUCACAUUAAGCAUCUCCAAUCCAAAAUUAAAUCUAGAAUCGGCUUCCUAUAUCACAACAAAGCAUCCUUCACUCAUGCUGCCAAACAUACCCUCGUAAAACUGACCAUCCUACCGAUCCUCGACUUUGGCGAUGUCAUCUAUAAAAUAGCCUCCAACACUCUACUCAACAAACUGGAUGCAGUAUAGCACAGUGCAAUCUGUUUUGUCACCAAAGCCCCAUACAUUACCCACCAUUACGACUUGUACGCUCUCGUUGGUUGGCCCUCGCUUCAUACUCGUCGCCAAACCCACUGGCUACAGGUUAUCUACAAGUCUCUGCUAGGUAAAGCCCCGCCUUAUCUCAGCUCACUGGUCACCAUAGCAGCACCCACUCGUAGCAUGCGCUCCAGCAGGUGUAUCUCACUGAUCACCCCCAAAGCCAAUUCCUCCUUUGGUCAUCUUUCCUUCCAGUUCUCUGCAGCACAUGACUGGAACAAAUUGCAAAAAUCUCUGAAGCUGGAGACUCACAUCUCCCUCACUAGCUUUAAGCACCAGCUGUCAGAGCAGCUUACAGAUCACUGCACCUGUACAUAGAUUGGCUGUUUACAGAUGGGUAGCGUCCCACUGAUCAGCAAGAAGUUAACAAUACCCAUAACAUGAUGCAGCCACCACCAUGCUUGAAAAUAUGAAGAGUGGUACUCAGUGAUGUAUUGUAUUGUAUUUUCCCCAAACAUAACACUUUGUAUUGAGGACAAGAAGUUAAUUGCUUUGCUACAUUUUUUACAGUAUUACUUUAAAGCCUUGUGGCAAACAGGAUGCAUGUUUUGUAAUAUUUUAUUAUGUACAGGCUUCCUUCUUUUCACUCUAAUUUAGGUUAGUAUUGUGGAGUAUCUACAAUGUUGUUGAUCCAUCCUCAGUUCUCUCCUAUCACAGCCAUUAAACUCUAACUGUUUUAAAGUCACCAUUGGCCUCAUGGUUACAUUUCUGUAGUGACUGGGUGUACUGAUACGCCAUCCAUUUACCAAUAGGUGUCCUUCUUUGCGAGGCAUUGGAAAGCCUUCCUGGUCUUUGUGGUUGAAUCUGCUCAACAGAGGGACCUUACAGAUCAUUUUAUGUGAGAGGUUCAGAGAUGAGGUUGUCAUUCAAAAAAUCAUGUUAAACACUAUUAUUUUUUAUUUUUAUUUUUAUUUAUUUUUUAUUUUAAAACAUAAAAACAUGUUAUUGCACAUAGAGUCCAUGCAACUUAUGUGACUAGUUAAGCAAAUGUUUACUCCUGAACUUAUUUAGGCUUGCAAUAACAAAGGGUUUGAAUACUUAUUGACUCAAGACAUUUCAUUUUUGAUUAAUUAAUACAUUUUUCAAAAAACAUGUCCAUUUUGACAUUAUGGGGUAUUGUAUGACAACACAAUCUACAUUUAAUACAUUUUAAAUUCAGGCUGUAACAACAAAAUGUGGAAAAAGUGAAGGUGUAUGAA